GGUGGAAACAAAAUAAGGAACAACUGUAAGUCCACCGCACACUUCCAUGGCACCUGUUCAAGAUGAAGAUCAGGAUUCGGAAAAAGAACAAGGACCCACUCAUUAUCAUGGCUGGGGCCAUGAAAAGCAAAUAAAACAUGGCCUUGGCCAUGGCCAUAAAUGGGGGGGGGGCAAAUGGCCUAACCCAUAGACAUAAACAUGAGCAUGGUCAUGGCCAUGAAAAACAUAAAAAUAAAGGAAAACACAAUGGAAAGCAAAUAAAUGGUUGCUUUGGGUUGGAGAACAAGUUCUUUUGAAGAUAAGACUACAUCUGCACAGACGCCAGAGAAGACAGAAUGGCCAAAAUCCUCCCCUCCCUAGCCCUAUCAGGUGUAGCAGUUGCCUUUCCUGAAUUUUGGGACUUAGAUUUCAUUGCAGCUAUGAUGACUAAUAUACCACCAACUCCCACAGAGAAUGAUGAUUCUUGGAUCCCUGAAAUCCAGAUAGAUCCCAGUAGCCUUUCAUUUAACCUGAUAUCUGACUUCCCAGAAUCAACUUCCUCCAAGUGUCUUGGACGCCCCUGGAAGCCAGUUAAUGGAAUGAAUCCAACUGUGG